CAUUGAAACAUCAGUUCUCGUACGAUCACCGAAGUUAAGCAACACCAAGACUUGUCAGUACAUAGAUGGGUGACCGCUUGAGAAUAACGGAUGCUGUAAG